CACCAGACAGAUGAGAAACCCGGGUUUAGAGAGGACAGGUAAUUGAGCCAAGGCCACACAGCCCUCAAGUAGCAGAACCAGUCUUCUUCAGAAUUCCACAUUCCAAAGCUUGGGCUGUUUCCAGAGUACAAGGACAGGCCCUCAGGGAGGGCUCCGGGUGCAUGAGGAACAGAAUGAAGUCAUAUUUCCCAACAGUCACAUCCUCUCAGGUUCACAGGGUGGCUUCCAGCUCCAUGACAGGAAAUAACCCUUCUCCCAGGAAGCUCCCUGUGGUGAGGUCUUUUUUUUGUGGAAAAAAGCAUUCUUGUUCUCAGAAGCCUGGAUCUGCCUGGCGCCAGAGGGCCACUCACACUGUUUUCUCAUGAGUGGCGCCCCCUGGAGUUGCGGAAGGCCUCAGCCCUGGCUGUACAAUUGCUUUAUUUCUCAUGGUAUAUUUUUAGGGGAGGGGUGGCAGUCUUGGGGAAGGACUAUGACAUCUGCUCUUGGAAUGUUCCCAGCCCUGCUAAGGUUCAAAGCCUACCUCUGUUCUGGGGUCUUUCACUUCGGGUUCCUCCGGUUCUCACUGACACGUCAGGUGGGAACCAAUAACCUAAGCCUAAAACUCACAUUAUCUUGAAAACCUAGAAGAGGAAACUCCUCUUGUCAUUAGAAGUAUUUCAGAGACUCUGAGACAAGGGUAUCCCCAAAUGUACAUGUGAUUAUAUGACUAGAUUCUCUAGAAGCUACUAUCAUACACAGGUCUCUUGUGGCAGAGCAGGUUAAGGACCCUCUGUUGUCACCUAGCAGCUCAGGUCGCUGCUGUGGCACAGGUUUGAACCCUGGCCUUGGGAAAUUCCACAUUCCAGAAGCGUGUCCAAAAGAAAAAAAAAAAGAAGUUACUAUCAUAUAAAAUUCAAAAAUAACCACUUUUAGGUGAGAAUCUAGGAGUCAUUUUGGUGAAUGUGGGGGCAAAGGAGGGGAAGAGAAGGAAGGGAGGAGACUUCCGUGUUUCUGUAAAAAUAAUUAUAGGUCGAGGCAUCUUCUCCUGCUUCAUUCUUUUUUUUUUUUAAAUUUAUUUUUUUCACUGUACAGCAUGGGGACCAAGUUACACAUACAUGUAUACAUUUUUUUUACUCCCAUUGUUGUGUUGCGAUGUAAGUAUCUAGACAUAGUUCUCAAUGCUACACAGCAGGAUCUCAUUGUAAAUCCGUUCCAAGAGCAAUAGUUUGCAUCUGAUAACCCCAAGCUCCCAAUCCCUCCCACUCCCUCCCUCUCCCCCUGGGCAGCCACAAGUCUAUUCUCCAAGUGCAUGAUUUUCUUUUCUAUGGAAAUGUUCAUUUGUGCUGUAUAUUAGGUUCUAGUUAUAAGUGAUAUCAUAUGGUAUUUGUCUUUGUCUUUCUGACUUAUUUCACUCAGUAUGAGAGUCUCUAGUUCCAUCCACGUUGCUGCAAAUGGCAUUAUGUUGUUCUUUUUUAUGGCUGAGUAGUAUUCCACUGUGUAUAUAUACCACAUCUUCCUAAUCCAAUUGUCUGUUGAUGGACAUUUAGGUUUUUUCCAUGUCUUGGCUAUUGUGAAUAGUGCUGCAAUGAACAUGUGGGUUCAUGUGUCUUUUUUAAGGAAACUUUUGUCUGGAUGUAUGCCCAAGAGUGGGAUUGCGGGGUCAUAGGGUGGUUCUAUGUAUAGAUUUCUAAGGUAUCUCCAAACUGUUCUUCAUAGUGCCGGUACCAUCCUGUUUCAUUCUUAAUAGGUAGGUAUCCCUACUUUGCUGGGCCCAUCAGGGUCUGAAUUCUACUUUCCUGUGGCCAAAGGUCCAUACAUUCUCCUAGCUGAACCCCCGGGAGCUGGUGACCAACAGGAAGACCAGCAGUAGUGAGAAAAGCAGUCUUGAUCUGUGGACCAAAGGUAGCUUUAAAUGAGCUAAACUCCUUGUACUUGGGGUUUGAAUAAGCCUUUCCCAUUUUUAGUACCCAUCUUUGAUCUGCUUUUUGCUUGACGACAAAUCGACAGAUAACUUGUCCACAAGAAACAGAAGGGAAAGGAAGCUGAAGGAGACUUCAAGAAAGUAAUGCCCCCUAACACAAAACCAUUUCUCAUGGCUAGCUUCCACCUAUCAUCAAGCUUUCCAAAUGAGACUAGGUAUCACAGAGAGAAGGAAGUAGUGGGAUUUGUUCCUCUCUGUACUAAAUCAAUAAAUGUGACAGACUUUUUGUGAUUACAAUAAGAAAUAUUGAUAUUUGGGAGUUCCCAUUGUGGCUCAGCGGGAUUGAACCCGCGUCCUCAUGGAUACUAGUCAGGUUCAUUAACCACUGAGCCAAGAUGGGAACUCCGACAUUCAAAAUUAUGUUUCAGUGUGUCUUGUUUCUCCAAAUCAGACCAGGAGUUCUUUGAAAUGAGGACGUGAUCCACAGUGUGAGAGGCCAGACCAGGAACUUUGUUUCCAGAGGUCAGGCUUGUUCACCCACUGCUGGAGCCACGGGCUUGCCUUUUAGUAGAUUUUCCUGAAUGGGAACAGGAUGCCUCCCAGAUCCUGAGGCAAGGGUUGAGUCUUCCAGAAGGAGUGGUGCAAGCACAGCCUCCUUGGGUUGUGGGCCUAAGUUCUUGGUGAUGCUUCCUUUUCUGGAUUAUAGGAAGCUCAGCCCUCUUUCCGAAACCUGCAAAGAUUAUAUUCUUAUUCUACCUCAAUAUGAUGUCGACUUUUGAAUCUUGGCAAAUGUCCUCUUGUUCAAUCCUUAACUUUCUUGAACCUUUUCUUACAAUUCUAUAUGGGUCUUUAUUUUUAUUUUAUUUUAUUUUAUUUUUUUAAGAACUGAUCUUUUUUAUUUGGGUGGUGCAAACCCAGGGCAUUGAGAAUAAGAAAAGGGAUGUGAGGUGAGGAAAAACGGGAGGUAACACAAGGUGAUAGCAGAUUAAGCCUCGUUCAUGACAAACCUAGAAGAGGCAUAGAAGGUGUGUCCACUGGCUACUUGGAGGUCUUCUCAUUGGCUGAACUGGAGAAAUGGUGUCUUGCACCAAUUCCGGGAAGGGAUGGAAGAAGGGGAAAUUUAUCUGCUUGGCUUUCUCCCAUCUCCCAUUAGUCAAAUGCUACCCUCAGAGCAUUAACUCCUCCACACUCCUAGGUGGCUAGUAGCCAUUUGAGAUGCCAGAUCUUAUGUCCUGUAGGGAGUAUUCCAUCUAAGUCUGAAAAUGGGGGGAGGAGACAAACUCUGGGCAUGUGGCUCGUGAGUGCCAGAGAAAAUUGGAUUUUUUUUUUCUUUUUCUUUUUGGUUUUUAGGGCCGAACCGGCAGCAUAUGGAAGUUCCCAGGCUAGAGGUUGAAUCAGAGCUGUAGCUGCUGGCUUACGCCAGAGCCACAGCAAUUCGGGAUCCAAUCCGAGCACAUCUGUGACUUACACUACAGCUCAUAGCAUCGGUGGAUCCCCAACCUGUUGAGUGAGGCCAAGGAUCAAACCCAUUCAUCCCUUACUAUUUAUCCUUCUCAUUUGUGGGCCAUGUGCUUUUCAGAUCAGGUUAAUAGAAGAGUUCCUUGGUGUCCACUUUGUCACUUUGGUUUCAUCAGUUCUGUUCAGUGGGGGCACUACUGGCAUUAGGGGAACAAUUCUGUGGUCCUCAGGUUAAAGGACUUUUGGCAUCCCUGGCCUUCCACCCCUGAGAACCAGCACCACACCCAGCAUUAGAACAAGUAAAAAUGCUUCCAUGCAUUUCCAAGUGGCUCCUAGUUGAGUCACACAGUUUUUGAUACUAUCUCCCCACCCCACACUCCAAAAACAUGCUUUCUCCCGAAAUGGGAUUGUUUUCGCCUCUGUUAAUAGACUGUUUCUUUUUCGGGGUGGGGGGGUUGGCACCCACAGCAUGUAGAAGUUCCCAGGCCAGGAAUUGAACCUGUGCCACAGUGGCGACAUGAGCUGCUUCAGUGACAGUGCCAGAUCCUUAACCCACUGUGCAUCAGGGAUCUCUGAGUGUUUCUCUCUCUCUCUCUCUCUCUCUCUUUUUUUUUUUUUUUCCUUUUUUAGGGCUGCACCUCUGGCAUGUGGAAGUUCCCGGGCUAGGGGGUUGAACUGGGGCUGCAGCUGCAGGCCACAGCCUCAGCAACCCUAGAUUGGAGCCGCAUCUGUGACCUAUGCUGCAGCUGCGACAAUGCCAGAUUCUUUAAGCCACUGAGUGAGGCCAGGGAUCAGACUGGCAUCCUCAUGGAUACUAGUCAGAUUCUUAACCCGCUGAGCCACAACAGGAACUCCAGCUGGUUUUUUGAAAGCUUUUCAUAUCUUUAGGUUAUUCUUCCUUUUAGGGGUUUUAUUUUUGCUUUGGAAUAUCAUAUAUUGUUUUGUUUUACUUACUAUUAUGGGUAUUGUCAAACAUAUACAAAUAGAGAGAGUAGUGUCGUGAACCCCAGAGGAUUAGUCACCUAGUUUCAACAAUGAUCAACUCAAAGACAAUCCUGUUUUCUUCUGUACCUGCACCUACCACCCUCCACCCACUUCCUGCUGUUAUGAGAUAAUUUUGAAGCAAAUUACAGACAUCAUUCAUUGUAUGCAGCUUUUUGAUAAACUUUUGGAUAUCUCUGUGUGUGUGUGUGUGUGUGUGUGUGUGUGUGUGUGUAUGUGAAGUCAACAAGGAUGAAAGUGAAACACUGUCUUAAUUCUCCAGGACUCCACCCUUUCAUAUCCCUGCUUGCUUCUGGUUCCCAGACUUGAGUCCAGUGUGGCAGCUGAUUUCCUUGCUUCCUCUAUAUCCUGAGACAAAAAUGUCCCAACAGAUCAAGAAUUUAUCAGAUGGUCUGUUUGUAGCAGAGGGAGACUUGAAGAAGCUAUUUGGAUCAUGCAAGUCUCAUUCCAUCUUUCCUAACAUAGUUUUACACUGUCCAACUAUCAUUUCUCUUUCUCUCUUUGUAGUCCCUGAAAACUUUCCACCAGCCUGGAAAUCUGGGUCUGUGACUUAAGGAGCCCUCCUAUUUUGUUCUUUGCCUGACCCACCCACUUGGAAAAGGUAUAUGUCCUUCUGCUGAUGUACUUGCGUUACAGUUCCCAUCCCAGCACUUAAUGAGCCUAAGAGAUUGCUUUUCAGUUGUGACUAUAAAAAUAUUUUGGAAAUGAGGGGAACACAUGUUGAGUCAGUUAAUGGUUGAGUGCUAAUAGGCAGCAGCGGGAGAUCAGAAUGAUUGGUUCUGUCAUGACUGGUUCUUAAAGGAUUAGGACAAUCAAAUGGUAUGUCUUGCCUUCUUCCUUCGCACCCUCAUGGGAUGUCUGCUGACUAUUUGAUUGCCCAGUGGUUAGAAUUGAUUAUCCCUGCUGACUUUGGGGCAGCUCUUGAAAAACAAAUUGAUGAACCAUGUAAACACUAAGCUUGACCUGGAACACUCAUAAGUGCCAAACCAUUGACUCUGAAGCCCCUGGGCUUUUCAGUUCUUUCUAGGAGCCAUGACCUUGACCUGGGAUGCAACUUUUCAGCCAGACUCUCACUGAAUUAUGGCUAGUCCCUUGGGGUUUUUUUUCCCCAAUGUUAACUCCCCUCCAACUUUUUUGCUUCGAGAUGGGUGUUUAAAAAUAGUAUAGAUCUGUGUUAGGAACAGUUUUAAGGCUCCCUGUACACCUGGCCUGAAAGCAGAUCCAGCAGAAAGAAGAAGGUGCUAACCAUGCCCAUAGCAGACUCUCCAAAGAAAUGUGGAGACGCUUAUAUCCAAUUAGUAAGUGCACUGUUAUUUAGAAAGCUCUUGUCGGAACAUUUUCUGUUUUUCUUUUUUCUUUUUUUUGUCUUUUUGCCAUUUCUUGGGCCACUCCUGCGGCAUAUGGAGGUUCCCAGGCUAAGGGUCAAAUCAGAGCUGUAGCUGCCGGCCGACACCAGAGCCACAGCAACUUGGGAUCUGAGCCGAAUCUGUGAGCUACACCACAGCUCACGGCAACUCCAGAUCCUUAACCCACUGAGCAAGGGCAGGGACCGAACCCACAACCUCAUGGUUCCUAGUCGGAUUCGUUAACCACUGAGCCAGGACGGGAACUCCUAAAAAGGUGUAAUUUUGACUGCUUUAUCUUCUUUUGUGCUUCUAACAUUAAGCCUAGCUUCAAGAGUGCAAUGGUAUUAUUAUCAUUAUUAUUGACACUAGCCAAAUACUGACGGUGAUUUAAGGAAUUUGCCUAAAUCAAACAGUUCAUUCGAAGAGAGUCUGAAUCCUUUGUCUCUGCCAGAAUAGUUUGCCAGGUUUUUCCACUCAUUCCCUCUGCUUUUGCCAAAGUCAUAGUCAAUAAUAAUUCAGUCCAGCAAGAACAUUUCAACGGCCCUCAGCAGAUGAGUAAGUCACCAUCAUGAGUCGCAGGGUAGAAGGACUUUGAGACAAAAAAGAUCCACAUCCUUGCCUACCUUCUGAAUUGUUGUGUCAACUAAAAGAGCAAAUGUGGGAGUUCCUGUUGUGGUGCAGUGGAAACAAAUCCAACUAGGAACCGAAAGGUUGCGGGUUCCAUCCCUGGCCUUGCUCAGCAGGUUAAGGAUCCAGCCUUGCCAUGAGCUGUGGUGUAGGUCACAGAUGCAGCUCAGAUCUGGUGUUGCUGUGGCUGUGGCAUAGGCCGGCAGCUGUAGCUCUGAUUUGACCCCUAGCCUGGGAACCUCCCUAUGUCGUAGGUGCAGCCCUAAAAAGCAAAAAAAAAAAAAA
ensembl:lncRNA